GUGGGGAAUUUUGGACAAUGGGCGCAAGCCUGAUCCAGCAAUGCCGCGUGUGUGAAGAAGGCCUUCGGGUUGUAAAGCACUUUUGGCAGGAAAGAAAUAGCGCGUGCUAAUACCAUGCGCGAAUGACGGUACCUGCAGAAUAAGCACCGGCUAACUACGUGCCAGCAGCCGCGGUAAGACGUAGGGUGCAAGCGUUAAUCGGAAUUACUGGGCGUAAAGCGUGCGCAGGCGGUUUUGUAAGACAGGUGUGAAAUCCCCGGGCUCAACCUGGGAAGUGCACUUGUGACUGCAAGGCUAGAGUGUGUCAGAGGGAGGUGGAAUUCCGCGUGUAGCAGUGAAAUGCGUAGAGAUCGGGAGGAACACCAGUGGCGAAGGCGACUUACUGGACUGUAACUGACGCUGAGGCGCGAAAGUGUGGGGAGCAAACAGGAUUAGAAACCCGAGUAGUCC
rnacentral:rRNA from 1 species